AACUUUAUAGUCAUAUAAAUGAUAUUAGACUGCAAUUCUAAAGGAGUAAAGAUUUUUAUUGAAGUUU
rnacentral:tRNA from 1 species